rnacentral:rRNA from 1 species
UACGUAGGGGGCUAGCGUUGUCCGGAUUUAUUGGGCGUAAAGAGCGUGUAGGCGGCCAUGUAGGUCCGGUGUGAAAACUCGAGGCUUAACCUCGAGAUGUCAUCGGAAACCAUUUGGCUAGAGUCCGGAAGAGGAGAGUGGAAUUCCUGGUAUAGCGGUGAAAUGCGCAGAUAUCAGGAAGAACACCAAUGGCGAAAGCAGCUCUCUGGGACGGUACUGACGCUGAGACGCGAAAGCGUGGGGAGCGAACAGGG